rnacentral:rRNA from 1 species
CGCCCGCUCAGAAACUUAAAUAGAAUUGACGGGGCCCGCACAAGCGGUGGAGCAUGUGGUUUUAAUUCGAUGAUACGCGAGGAACCUUACCUGGGCUCAAAUGUAUGUUGACGUAUUCUGAAAGGGAUACUUCUUCGGACAAUAUACAAGGUGCUGCAUGGUUGUCGUCAGCUCGUGCCGUGAGGUGUCGGGUUAAGUCCCAUAACGAGCGCAACCCCUAUCAUUAGUUGCCAUCAGGUCAAGCUGGGGACUCUAAUGAAACUGCCUACGCAAGUAGUGAGGAAGGUGGGAUGACGUCAAAUCAGCACGGCCCUUACGUCCAGGGCUACACACGUGCUACAAUGGCCGAUACAGAGGGCAGCUACCUGGUGACAGGAUGCAAAUCUCCAAAGUCGGUCUCAGUUCGGAUCGGAGUCUGCAACCCGACUCCGUGAAGUUGGAUUCGCUAGUAAUCGCGCAUCAGCCAUGGCGCGGUGAAUACGUUCCCGGGCCUU